ACAGUGUUAACCUCUCUACUGUUGAUUGUGUCCUCAAGUGCAACAGACUUCGCAUGAAACAGCUAUACAGAGUGCCCUUUGAUUACAAUUCAGACAAACCCAAAGACCAAAGAUUCCAGUAUAUACAGGUUGGCAAAUAUCCAGACACAUUCAAUCUUGAUUACUUGAAGUAGUGAAUUACUGUAGAGGCCUAAAUCACUUUUUUCGUAUCACUUACAAAACUAUAUCUAUUUCUACAGAGGGUUUUUCAACUGGAUGCAAUGGAAAGACCCAAUGAAUACAUCUACGUGGAUAAAGCUGGGU